GGAGCUCCUCAGCUUUGAGAAGUAUGUAAAUGAACUGAAGCAGUUUAGAGACAACAACGGCGGCUCUCCAGAGUACACCAUCAACAUGUGCUUCGGAGAGAAGUUCCCCGAUGGAAAACCUUUGGAGAAGAAGCUCAUCGUAGUCAAGGUGGUCCCUCUGAAUCUGUCGACACUACCAUGAGAUCGCCCAGAUGGAAGGAGCCUCGUCUCUUCACAGCUCCAACGUCAGCCUACAGAUUU